rnacentral:rRNA from 1 species
AUACGGAGGGUGCGAGCGUUGUUCGGAAUCACUGGGCGUAAAGGGCGCGCAGGCGGUUUGUCAAGUCAGAUGUGAAAGGCCACGGCUCAACCGUGGAGGUGCAUCUGAAACUGGCAGACUUGAGUACCGGAGGGGAAAGUGGAAUUCCCGGUGUAGAGGUGAAAUUCGUAGAUAUCAGGAGGAACACCGGAGGCGAAGGCGACUUUCUGGACGGAUACUGACGCUCAGGCGCGAAAGCGUGGGGAGCAAACAGGAUUAGAAACCCCAGUAGUCC